rnacentral:lncRNA from 1 species
CAUCCCAAUAACUCCAUCCAUCCAUAAUAAAAAAUGCAAAUAUAUCCAAAUAACUUAACCAUCCAAUACUUUACUAACAAAAGUAAUGUAUCUAAGUAGCUAGAGUAGUCAUUUACAAUUUUCAACGAAAAAUGAUACUCUGAAGUAGCUUUAAGUCAAAAGCAAUCCAUCCAUCCAAACUUCCAUCUGUCAAAACGCGGAAUGAAAGCUGAAAAUCGAAGAAAAUGAUGUCCAAGAAGAUGAUGUCUAACAUUUCCUGCUAUAAUAUAAGUUGUAGUCUUGUAGACUAUAGACUUAAGCAUCAAACCAUAUUAUAAACUAGAUAAGAACACUUAUAACGAUGUAUUCCUACACGGACAAUGACUUCAAAAGUAAAGAAAUAUUUGAACAAAAGCAGUUGAAUAAAAUUUUGGAAGGUCAAUCACACGGCGUAAGGACUAUCAUACCUUCUUGACACCACAGAUUUUCUUUGCUCUGUUUUUGCAUUCUUUUAUCUGCUUCCUCNCUACGACAAUAUCUUGAACGCUAGCCAUGCUCUUAUCUGAGGAUCACCUAUGACCU